rnacentral:lncRNA from 1 species
UUUUUCUUCUUUAUGUAGUUAUCACAAACUCUCCUUCCAUUUCUAUUCUCACCAUAUAUCACUCAUUUCUUAUCCACAUAACAACAUACCAUUAACACACACUCAUGAGCAACAAGACACUCCAUGUCAUCUUCUCUACGCACUACCAACAAUACAUCUUACCACCCUCCCCUCAACACAUGUUCAUGAAAGCUUCACCAUAAUUUUAUUUUUCUUCAAAACAAACCCAUGCUCUUCACAUCUCGCCAUGUAAAAACUUAUAUCUACAAACCAUACACCAUAAUAACCCACAUUUUCUUCAUCAUAUUACAAACACUCACCCUCCAUAAAAACUCCACAAUCUUCAUUUUUUCUCUCACUUACAUAAAAGAAGAAGAAAACUUCUUUUCUUCCAUGUAAAACCACCA